rnacentral:tRNA from 2 species
GGACUUGUAGCUCAAAUGGUAGAGCGGGAGAGUGAAGAUCUCCGCGUAGGCGGUUCGAUAUCGUCCGAGUCCA